CAGGCCUAACACAUGCAAGUCGAGCGAACAGAUAAGGAGCUUGCUCCUUUGACGUUAGCGGCGGACGGGUGAGUAACACGUGGAUAACCUACCUAUAAGACUGGGAUAACUUCGGGAAACCGGAGCUAAUACCGGAUAACAUAUUGAACCGCAUGGUUCAAUAGUGAAAGGCGGCUUUGCUGUCACUUAUAGAUGGAUCCGCGCCGUAUUAGCUAGUUGGUAAGGUAACGGCUUACCAAGGCAACGAUACGUAGCCGACCUGAGAGGAUGAUCAGCCACACUGGGACUGAGACACGGCCCAGACUCCUACGGGAGGCAGCAGUGGGGAAUAUUGGACAAUGGGCGCAAGCCUGAUCCAGCCAUGCCGCGUGAGUGAUGAAGGCCUUAGGGUUGUAAAGCUCUUUUGUCCGGGACGAUAAUGACGGUACCGGAAGAAUAAGCCCCGGCUAACUUCGUGCCAGCAGCCGCGGUAAU
rnacentral:rRNA from 1 species